rnacentral:rRNA from 1 species
ACCGGCAGCUCAAGUGGUGGCCAUUAUUAUUGGGCCUAAAGCGUUCGUAGCCGGUUUGAUAAGUCUCUGGUGAAAUCCCGCAGCUUAACUGUGGGACUUGCUGGAGAUACUAUCAGACUUGAGGUCGGGAGAGGUUAGGGGUACUCCCAGAGUAGGUGUAAAAGUCUCGAAUCCUGGGAGGACUACCUGUGGCGAAGGCGCCUAACUGGAACGAACCCGACGGUGAGUAACUUAAGCCAUUGGCGUGGACGG